UUACCUUUAAAAUUUUUCUACUUUUAGUCAAUUUUCAAAAUUUUAGUUCCCUACUUUUCGUUUACAAUUAGCUUCCUAACUUUUGUUAUUCAUUUUAAUUAAGUUAGUAUUAACGAUUUUAAAAUCGAAUUGAAUCGACUGUUUCGAUCGAUCAAAUCAUAACCUAGUUUUCCAAGCGACUCGGUUUAACCCUUUGAACUGAAUAAGGUUAAGAAUAGUUUUGAACGGUUAGAUAUAAUAAAUAAUUUAAACAUAAUCACAAUUUAAUCAUUAGAGUAAUAAAUAUUUUAAACGUAAUUUUAAACGUAAAACUAAAAAGGUUAAGGUUAGUGAUUAAAAAAAAAGUAAUGGCUAGGGACCAGGUUAGCGAUUACAAUGGAUCAGAUAUGGGGUGAAUUUUUAUAAAUCUGAACCCAAACUUGCCUCUCAAUCCUAUAACUUGUAUCCGAAUUCAACGGGUUUUAAAAAUACAUAUCCAAACCCGAAUCUGACAAAAAAAUAAAUUUUAUCCUAACCCAAACUCGAAAAUUCGAACUCGAAAUAAUUUUCUCUCUACCAUAUUUCAAAAUAUAUUAUACUGAAUCUAAAUUUUUAAAAUAUAAAUUCAAAUAUAACAUCAAACUUUGUAUAUUAUAUAAUAUAAAAUCAAUUAGAAUUCAUAUCGGGUUCAAGGUGGCUACAAAAAAAUUCAUACUCCGUCCACGAAAUAAUUCCAUGCUUUUUUUGUGCAUGGCUGAGGCCCACUUGAGGAGAAAAAGGAAACAAGAGAAAAGAGAAAUAUUAAAUAAUAAAAAAAUUUCAAAUACCAUCCAUGUAAUUUUGCACUUUCUUACUUUAGUACCCUAUGGUUUAAAGUGUAUCAAUUUUGUACCCUGUGGUUUCAUUUUUCUCUUUUUAUCAUUCAUUCCACUAACUUUUUGUUAAAUCAGUGACAAAAUUAAAACUAAAGGGUAGUAAAGUAAAUAUUCGAUAAAUUUAGGUGGGGUAUCUGAAGUUUUUUGUAUAUAAUUUAACGAAAUAUUAACAGAGGAGCCGGCGAAAAGAGAAAAAUGAACCACAUGGUACUAAUUUGAUACACUUUAAACCACAAAAUAUUAAAGUGAGAUAGUGCGAAACCACAUGGGUGAUAUUUGAAGUUUACUCUAGAUAAUAUAGUAUGGCAAAUUAUUUAAUUUUCCAUAUUAAAAGAUCAAAAAUAUUUCUUUUUAGGUACCUAGUAACUGGUACCUUUCUUUAUGUCGAGGAUACUACAUGAGGUAAAUAGUUCAUCAAUUCUUUCGAGAAGAGGACGUCAUGUCAAAUUAAUUUUAAUUUGGAUAGGAAAAAAAUGACACUGUUAGGUGCCGAUCGUCCUGACCCUUGACCUAGUCAAAAAUCUUCCUCAGGAGGAGUGUAGGGACUCGGAGCGGCUACGAUUAAUGACCCUCGAAGUUUGCGCCCUUUGACUGGAUCAAGCGUUUCGGCUGAUGAGGGAUCGGAUCAGCAGAGUUCGAAAAUCUCUACUGUGGAAUCGAUUCGGCUGGAUGAGCCGAAUGUACGGAUUGCACAGAAACUAGGGUCGGCUGAAGAAUCGAAUGGAUGAAAACACAGUGAUUGGUCGGCUUAAAGAGCCGAAAGCCUUUAAAUAUAUUGAAACUGACUGGUGGAAAGAAUACAGGGAUCGAGUGUGCCUAUGGGCAUACAGACUCGGUUGAUCUAGUUUACUUCUACUCCUAGAGAAAAACAGUAAAUGCUGGAAAGUAAAAGGUUACAAGUAGACUACUCCUAAGAAAUGCGAAGAAAUUGCAUAGAAAAUAAGGGUGGUCUUCUAUUAUCGGGGAAAAGACCUCUUUUUAGGGUGUUAUUGGUCUAUUUAUAGACUGCCCUUGUUAAUUGGUUAUUGCUUUUCCGCGAUCGGCCACUACUCCUAUUUUCUCGGGCCACUUUCAGCCGAUCGGAACCGCUUGUAACUGCUCGCGGUUACUGUAACCUCCCCUAAUUCACGCGGGGAUUCGCUUUU
rnacentral:lncRNA from 1 species